AACGAACGCUAGCGGUGUGGAUUAGGCAUGCAAGUCGCGCGCGAAAGCCUUCGGGCGAGUAAAGCGGCGAAAGGGUGAGUAACACGUAACCAACGUACCCUCAGACUGGGAUAACCACUGGAAACGGUGGAUAAUACCGGAUGGUCCACUGGGCAGCAUUGCCUGGCUGGUAAACGGCGGCCGCAAGGCGGUUGCAGAGGGANCGGGUUGCGGCCUAUCAGCUUGUUGGUGAGGUAACGGCUCACCAAGGCUAUGACGGGUAACAGGUCUGAGAGGAUGAUCUGUCACACUGGGACUGAGACACUGCCCAGACUCACGGAGGCUGCAGUCGAGAAUCUUCCACAAUGGCGAAA
rnacentral:rRNA from 1 species